AGAGGAUGUGCAGAUUUCAUCUAGUGCAAAACAGAACAAGGAGGAAGUAAAGAGAAUGAGAAGAAGAGGAAAAAGAGAGAGUAAGACUUCAUCCCCAUCUCCCUCUUCCUCUCCCUUAUUCCCUCCUCUGCCAACGACUUUCACCUCAGAAAUUGCGGCGACACCAACUUCAAAAGGCUGUCAGGAAGGAGCUGGAGUGUGAAAUCUGAGAAGAGAAGCACGAUGAGAGGCUGACCGGCGCUGUGUUUGCUAUGCUGUUCAGGAGCUGCCAGGACAGCAGACUGGACCCUCCAGGUGACACCUGGCAGUUAUCUCAGUAAUCAUGGAAGACAGUGCUGCUGAGGAGGGCCUUUGAGGGAAUAC